GCUCUGGGGACUCAGGUUAGUGGCUCUUUAACAACUGGUGUGGAGUCAUCUCAAUAUUUUAACAUCGGCUGGCUUUCCAGGUGUGUGCAGGGUGAUGAUUAGCUCUACCUGCCACCCAUCACAGAACUCAGAGUUUCACCACUUCCUUCUCCAUUUUCUUUAGCUGUCAGCAUAUAGUUAAUGGGCAACAACAAAGCUCUCCAUCCAGUUCUGGGAAAUAAUAAUCAUGGUUAAUAGUUAUUGAGAACUGAUGAUUUCGUUUCUUCUUCAUACCAACGCUUGGGGUAGGCACCAUUUUAAAAGCGAUUGGAGACAGGUUAAACAACUUGCCCUCAAUCAACGGUUGGGAAGUGAAAGAACCAAGCUUCAAAUCCAGGUCUGUCUGGGUCUUGAGCCAAGCUCGAAGUCUGUGUCACAUUGCCCAGGACUCGGCUGCCAAUUCUCCCCACCUCCUCGUCCCUCACUGCUGCAUCAGCAAAUCCAGGGCUCAUGGCAGGAAGAGCAGAGAAGAGCAAAGGUCAAGCCUAUCCAGCAAGAAGCCAAGUGGAGAGUUGAGCAAUUAUCUGAAGUGGGCAGUGAGACGGCCAAAACCAGAUAAUACUUAACCAGAAAGUCAUCGUGGAGGGAAAAAGUGGACUGAAAAUAGAAGGGAUGGGGUAAAAUGUCAAACAAUUUGGUCAGUGUCCACAGUCCAAAUUCACUGGAUAACAGCCAAUUCCUUGCUUCAUGUAAUUAUUUAGAAUGAGUCUAAAAGACUGAGGUUUUAAAAAAAGAAGAUGAAUUUGUUACCAAGGUUGUUGCAUGUUUGUGCAAAACUUUUUCAUAUCCGUAGGACUAUCUGUGACAUGUCUAAUUCUGAAUAUUUCCAGGAUAUUUUAGAUUGGUGGGUCAAGGUUGUUGAGGAAGCCCAUAUUAUCUGUAGACUUACAUGGAGAAAAACUUUCUUUUAUGGAUUAUUUGAGUGUUAUAUUUAAUUCGCCUUUCUCCCCCCAUAGCAUAUUGCUUAGGAAUUUUCCAUUGAAAACUCCUGGUUCUCUGUUACUUUAUCAUUUCCUCAUGUGGCAAUUUCAGUAUCCCCUUGAUUUUAGUAGAACCUAUCAAUGAAGUAUAUAAGUCUACUAGAAUGGGAUUUGCAUUACUUUUGGUUAAAAAAAAACCCCACCAAAGUCUCAGAUCAAUGUGGUGUUUUUUUCCCUUCUAUUUGGUAUAAAAACCAUAAACUAAUUACUCUGAACAGAUGUUUCCUAGACCUAAAAUAUAGUUAUCAGCCCACUGGCCUCUAUAAAUCCGUCGCUGUAUACCUGGUAAUCCUGAAGACUCCUUAGUGCCAUGUUAAACCUUCCAUUUGUUGAUUUUUUAUUGAGAAAAAGUUCAUAAAUUAGGUUCACUGCUGCUUGGAAUUAAGAAGAAAACACAGCCAUGUUAGUAUUUCAGAUGGGAAAACCAAAGUUAAACAAGUAUUUUUUUUUCACUCUAUCAUGUCUUGAACAUUUGAAGCCAUUACAUAGCAUCUUAGAAACAAAAAAAAAUAACCCAGGGCUACUUUUUUCAGUAGCUUUGGCUGAUGUUUGAAAUCCACAGUGAAAAUUGCCCAUGGAAUAUUCUGGAAGGACUCCAAGGGAGUCUAUUGGAAUAUCUUACAAUAAAGUAAAAAUUCAAGAAGAAUUUUACAUGCAAGUAAGGAUUAAGAAAUUUGUUUUAUAAGUCACGGGAUAAAGGUAUGUAUUAAGUGACAUUGCUAAAUUCUUCCCUUGUGCUGUACAGUGACUGCUUUCCCCAUCAUAUGGUCAUGUCUGAAUCUCUGUGGGAAACCCAUCCCACACAGCCACAGCAGGUGUAACUCUUCUGCCGAAUACUUGAUUGGACAUACUGUGGGCCAGGACCUUUUGCUCUAAUGGUAAAAUUGACCUACAGAAAUGGAAGUCAUUCUAUGGACCUGAGUUGAUAGAAUGGAUGGUGCAUUCUGCAUAAAUGCUUGCUAAUGGUGUCAGUGGUAAAUGGUUUAUGCCCUACUUUGCUUUGUAAAAGACUAUGAUCAUGGAAUUUGAGCUGAAUAGACAAGCAAAAGAUUGAUUCUUCAGUGUCUACUGAUAAGUAAGCCUGUUUUAUCUUCAACCAUCUUGUUUCAUUUAAGUGAGGAAUCAAACCAGCUUUAAUUAAGGAAAUCUUUAGAAAUCACCCAUGCCAUCUUUUUACUCCCUGUUAAAAACAAAACAAAGAAGAAAACUAGAAAGACUUCAGCACAAAAACAUCUGCAUGUUGUCCAGGACCGUAGGACCGAAUCUUAGCACAACUCUUUUUGAGGAAGGAUACAGAUAUUAACCUGAAUUUUGAAUCACGGCUGAGGGAUGUGUGAACAAGUUAGUUUCCUCUUUUCUCCCUCCUGACUUCUUCCAUGAAUACGUAAGACCUAAUUUGGCCAUUCAGUUUGGAGAAUGAUUUUUUUCAUUUAAUUUCUUUGAUUAUCAAGCGUUGUAUUGCUAGGG
ensembl:lncRNA